GUCCUUUUGAUAAUAAUAUAAGGUCUAACCUGCCCACUGAAAUUUUAAAGGGCCGCAGUAUUUUAACUGUGCAAAGGUAGCAUAAUAAUUAGUUUCUUAAUUAGAAGCUGGUAUGAAUGGUUGAACGAGAAAUUUACUGUCUCAAUUUAUAUAUUAAAAUUUUAUUUUUAAGUUAAAAAGCUUAAAUUUAUUUAAAAGACGAGAAGACCCUAUAGAGUUUUAUAAAUUUAAGUAUAUUUUAUUAUAGAAUUUUUUUUUAUUUAAAUUUAUUUUGUUGGGGUGAUAUAUAAAUUUAAUAAACUUUAUAUUUUUAAUAACAUAAAUUAAUGUUAAAUUGAUCCAUAAAAAUGAUUAAAAGAAAAAAUUACCUUAGGGAUAACAGCGUAAUUUUUUUUUAGAGUUCAAAUCGAAAAAAAAGAUUGCGACCUCGAUGUUGGAUUAAAAUUAAUUUUUGGUGUAGAAGCUAAAAUAUUAGGUCUGUUCGACCUUUAAAAUUUUACAUGAUCUGAGUUUAAACCGGCGUGAGCCAGGUUGGUUUCUAUCUUUAAAAAAAUUAAAUAUUUUAGUACGAAAGGACCAAAUAUUUUUAAAAUUUAAUAUUUUUUGAAUA
rnacentral:rRNA from 2 species